AACCCAACAAUCACAGGUGAUCCAUGUGGGCUCCUGGCGGUCAUGGGAGCUCCCCGUGGGAACCUUGUGGACAUGGGUGCUUCAUGGGUACCUGGCUCCCUGGGGCAAAAAGGCUUGACAAGGCUUCUGUUGCCUCCACUUUCCUCUCUUUGGGAGUCUGGCGGGUACAGAUGCAUCUUGUAGGUGUGUGGUUUCUCCUGCCUCAUUGUCUUGAUGGAUAGAGCUCUUGGAUGGUUGUAAGACAAAUUAUCCAAAAAUUUAACGCAAAGGUUGUGCAAAAUUUGUUGUGUAUGCAAUAAAUGAUAUCUAGAUCUGUGAAACCUUGUGAGAGAAAAAGAGAGUGAAGAGAUGAGUUGAGUAAACCAAGAAGAGCUUGGAAUUUAGUUAGCUUAAUGCUCAAAAAACUAACAGGUUUGUUAGUGAUGGGAGUCCUUGGCUAUUUUGUUCGAUUAAAGCUGGAGCUACAAAUAUAGAAAGUGAAUACAGAUCUUUAAUUGGUGAUGCAGAUUUGCUUCUGGCGUUUAUUUUUCUUUAUGCAUAAAACAUUUCAUGAUUUUUCCUAAAUAAUACAUGAUGCAUAAGUACAAUGUAAAUCUGUCAUUGAAUGUUGAAGUGCAAAUCACCUGAUUUUAUCAUCAUCAAUGGAUCCAUAUAGCAGCAUAGUAUUUUUUCCACUUUAAGCACUAGUUAUAGGUACUUUAAAUAUAUGAAGAACAUUGGUGCUAACACUAAAGAACUAAACGCACCUUUAAAAUGAUAAGAAUUGUUUUCACAUUUGACAUCACACCGAAUAAAGAAAUUUUAUUCAAUAGGCAUCCAUGAGAAAGUGACAAAGCAUUCUGUAUAAUAAAUUAUAAAUCAAGACGUAUGCAUUGCCCGAAAGACCAUAACUACCUGUAAUUUUAUAUUUCAUGUAUCACAAGCAUAAUAAAGCCUGUUCAAAUAGAU